GCCAACAUAGCUCAGUUGGUAGAGCAGCUGAUUUGUAAUCAGCCGGUCGGGGGUUCGAGUCCCUCUGUUGGCU
rnacentral:tRNA from 1 species